rnacentral:lncRNA from 1 species
AUCCUUUGCCUCAUCUCUGCUAAUAUUUCUUCUUGUCUAAUCCUUGAUCUCUGGUCUAUCAUGAAUUCAAACAUGUCUAUCUAUGAAUUUCAUAGACCUACGGGCACACAUCUCGAACCACCAAAAUCUUCAAAGCCUAUCAUAGCAUCUAGUUUUGAGAUAGACCCCGAAUACAUAGAAUUUGUUCAAAAACAACCUUUUUCAGG